rnacentral:rRNA from 1 species
UACGUAGGGUGCGAGCGUUUAAUCGGAAUUACUGGGCGUAAAGCGUGCGCAGGCGGUUUUGUAAGCCAGAUGUGAAAGCCCCGGGCUUAACCUGGGAAUGGCAUUUGGGACUGCAAGGCUUGAGUGCGGCAGAGGAGACUGGAAUUCCUGGUGUAGCAGUGAAAUGCGUAGAUAUCAGGAGGAAUACCGAUGGCGAAGGCAGGUCUCUGGGCUGACACUGACGCUCAUGCACGAAAGCGUGGGGGAGCAAACAGG